GAUGUCUAAAAUGUCAGAUGUCUAUGACAGAUGUCUACAGAGAGGCUGUUAAAGAGAACGGUGACUCUGGAGAGCCUGAUCAUACGUCCCUACUGGAUGCUGAGAGAGAAGUGGCCCAUAGGAGCUGUCCGUCAAACCUGGACGCCAUGGUAACCAAAGUGUGAUCUGCUUCAAUGGCUGUCACAGACAGUCCAAGCCCGAAGGAUAGAAAGCGUGUGAGAUGACCCUGCACAGAGCAAAGAGUGUCUUUUCAUACACUUCCUCCAUGAGAGUCUUCCCUGGUUACAGUCAUAAUAUUGAUGAUACCUGUCCUGAGCCCACAUCCACCACCCUGCUGCAGGUCUGAUCACAAAGGUGUUUAACCAGCUGUGGAUCAAACUGAAGAAACAGAUCAAAAACCCUGUUAAAGAUGAGUAUACGUUGUUAAUUAUAUUAGGAUGUGAAAUAUUCCUGUAACGUGCCCAGUUUGCAGAUCUUGUGCAGCUUCUUGGGUUUGACGUGUUUCCUGAAUAUGUGACCCAGCAGAGAGCUCUGACUUUGAUUCUCCUGAAACUCCUCAGAGCCGGUCGCUCUGCCUCUCUCCUGUCUGCACUCUCUGGGAAACGCAAGAGCAUGAGCUGUGGCACGAAACGCCAGGAGUGACAGAGGCCACACGCAGGGAUACCUGAUGAGAUAAAGUGUCAGGGGUUUUAUUUAGAUCACACAGAAGUCAGAAUGUGAUCAUUUUCUUAUGUUAGUAUAUUGCAUGUUUGAAGAACAAAGCUUGAUUGAAAGACCAAACCCUCUAGCUUUAAGCAUCUUUACACUACUAUCCCGGGUUAACAAGGCUUUACAUCUGUUCUGAGCAUUCGAUUAUUCGGACAAGCUAAAUGUCUACAAGAAGGGGUUGGAUAUUCAGCAGCUCAGAUUAAAGACUGUCCCACAAACUGACAUGAUCUGCUGUAUCCCACAAGUAAAGAAAAGCUUAAGGACCUCAAAUGUAUAUAGAUGGUCUGAUAAUGACCCAGUAGUACCUCCUGUUGUCUCCAUUGUUAGCAUCCAGUAGCAGAUCUGCAACCUGUGGAUAUGUCAGGUCUUGUAGCACCAACUGCCGUGAGUCUGGUAGGGUGUGCCGGAGAUCUUGAGUGAAGAACUCCUGAUGGAGAACAGUAAACCUACAGUUUUUAAGGGAAUCACAACUGGAUGGAUUAUGAGCACCAAUAUCAAACUGUACACAAUGAACAAGAGGAUUCAGUGGCUCUAAAUCAGUAGUGCAGUUAACUGCUAGGGUUAUAUUGCAAUAGGGUUGAACGAUUUAGGAAAAACAAUCUAAUUGCGAUUUUUUCCCCCAAUAUUGCAAUUGUGUUUUGAUAUGUGAUUAUUCCUUAACUUUCUUAAAUUCCUAAACAGUGAACAAUUCCUUUAAAGUGUCUAAUUCUGAUGAUUUUGACUUGUAUGGCAAAUCGGGUCUGAAUGAUUACAUUGAAAGGUUUUUGUCAUUCUUAUAUUUAAUGAAUAAGUACAAAAAUCAAGAAGGCAGGAUGUUUUAGACUA